UACGUAGGUGGCAAGCGUUGUCCGGAAUUAUUGGGCGUAAAGCGCGCGCAGGCGGUCCUUUAAGUCUGAUGUGAAAGCCCACGGCUCAACCGUGGAGGGUCAUUGGAAACUGGGGGACUUGAGUACAGAAGAGGAAAGCGGAAUUCCACGUGUAGCGGUGAAAUGCGUAGAGAUGUGGAGGAACACCAGUGGCGAAGGCGGCUAACUGGUCCAGUACUGACGCUGAGGUGCGAAAGCGUGGGGAGCAAAUGGG
rnacentral:rRNA from 1 species